GAUGAACAGAGUCUUACCACUUAAAAAUCAUUAGGCCUUUUGCAAAGGGCUAGGAGGCCCACGAGGUCCUUCACUGCUUUCUAUGAAGGCCAUUUCAGCUGAGUCAGAAGCUAUUCACCACUUAAAGCUCUGACGUCCUGUGACAGCUAAAAAGCCUGAAGUCUCCAGCCUGCCAAAGCCCCUCUUAUUCAUGGCUCCACAUUCAGGGCGGGCAUCCCCGGCCACAACCACCACCGGCCUCAUUAUAGGCCUGCAGUGGCCAUCUCCUCACAGGGAUUUUCCCAACAGUUUGCCCAAAAUAUUGACCACUCUUAGUCAUACAAAAAUAAGGAUAACUUUUUGUUACAGUCAAAAGUUGAACAUGUUUUGUUGAUUUUCUCAGUGAAAAGAAGUUAACACAUCCUCUACAGAAAACAUACUUCUGCACAUUUUAAUGCACAAUGACUGGUAAUUUGGCCCCUGUCAA